GACGAACGCUGGCGGCGUGCCUAAUACAUGCAAGUCGAACGAACCGCGACUAGGUGCUUGCACUUGGUCAAGGUGAGUGGCGAACGGGUGAGUAACACGUGGGUAACCUACCUCAUAGUGGGGGAUAACAGUCGGAAACGACUGCUAAUACCGCAUAGGACAUAGGAUCACAUGAUCCAGUGAGGAAAGGUGGCGCAAGCUAUCGCUAAGAGAUGGACCCGCGGUGCAUUAGCUAGUUGGUAGGGUAAAGGCCUACCAAGGCGAUGAUGCAUAGCCGACCUGAGAGGGUGAGCGGCCACAUUGGGACUGAGACACGGCCCAAACUCCUACGGGAGGCAGCAGUAGGGAAUCUUCCGCAAUGGACGCAAGUCUGACGGAGCAACGCCGCGUGAGUGAAGAAGGUCUUCGGAUCGUAAAGCUCUGUUGUUAGAGAAGAACAGCGCAUAGAGUAACUGUUAUGCGUGUGACGGUAUCUAACCAGAAAGCCACGGCUAACUACGUG
rnacentral:rRNA from 1 species